UCUGACUUCCAAAAAACUAUAAACUAUAAGCUAUAAGCUAAACCAAACACAUCAAAAUAGCUUAAAUUAAGCUGAAAGCUAAAAACUGAAAUAAGCAGCUUUUAAGCUGCACCAAACAGGGCCGAUGAAAUGUUAGGUAACUAAGAAACAUGUAAAGAAAAUGAGAGUUACCGAGAUGAAGUUGCUAAGAUGGAUGUGUGACAAAAUUAGAAAAGACAAAGUUAGGAAUGAGUAUAGUUAAGAAUGAAAAUAGUACUGAUAGAAACUAAGUUGAGAGAGGAUAAAUUGAAAUGGUUUGGUCAUAUUCAUAUACAAUGGAGACCAACAAAGACAAUAGUGAAAAUAUGCGAUAUAAUGACAGUAGAUAAUAGCGUUAGGGGAAGGAGUAAACCUAAAUUGACAUGGACUAGUAUAGUAAAUAAAAAUAUAAAUCUCCUUAAUUUGACUAAUAAAAUAAUUUUUGAUAGAAUCAAGUGGAGAAAAAAUAUUAAUGCAACAGAUCCCAUUUAAUGUGACUUAAAAUUUGAUUUUAUUUGAUUUGAUUUAUUAUUUUAAAGUGGAACCCCUCCAAAGUACAAUCACACAAAAUCUAGGGUUUUUUUUUUUUUUUUAAUUUUUUAAAAUACUUGUAAUCAUUUACAAGUUACAAGUAUCAAGUAAAUCAAGAUAUUGUUAGUGAAAUUUGAGCUAAGGACUCAAUUUUAUGAUUGGUCUGAGUGACAAUUUUAUACUACCAAGUAUCAAGUAAAUCAAGGUAUUGUCAACGAAAUUUGAGCUGAGUACUCUCAAUUUUAUGAUCGGUCUGAAUGACAAUUUUAGACUAGCUACUCUUUUCAUAUUGAUCUAAUUAUGUUCAUCUUCUUCGAUGCUUGAAAAGGUGUUCAAAAUUAAUUUCACAUACUAAUUAGACAAACACAAACUAAGGAUCUGAAUUCUUUUUAACAUGUAAACUAAAAACAUAAUGCAAGGAUUCAUCACAAAACGUAGACGAUAUUAUAGAACUAAUAAGAUUGAUGAACACCAAUUCUGGAUUUAGAUGGAAAGAUUUAUUUAUUUUUCCUUAUAUUUUCUUAUUUUAGGUCUCCUCAAUUUUCUUUUUAUUUUUUAUUUUUUAAUAUUUCAUAAAUGACAACAAAAAAAAUCCACGAACAUUACCGCUAGUUAUAUAUAUUAGCAUACCAUAAAUCUUUGACCUACAUGGAAGAGUAGAAACAACAAAUAACUAGACUUCAUUAUCAUGGGGCAAUUUGGUAACUUGGUAAAAAGCCAGCUUUUUGACUUUUUACCAAGUUCUCCCAAAAAA